UUUUAGUAACAACAGCAGCUCGUUAUCUUUUCUAGAAACUUCUUCUUUGAUUUCUGGAUGCUCUAAGGAAAGAAAAGAAGGCCAUCGUUUUUAUUUUUUUUUUUUUUAAAGGAAAUCGUCUCGAAACCCGUAAACGCGUAGUUGUUGCCAACUUGACACAAGUUGAUGUCAUCUGGGAAGAGGAACAUCAACCAAGGAGAUGCCUCAAUCAGACUGCCUAAACAGAGUUCCUCCAUGGUCUCUGCUUCAGUUCCUGCCUCCAGGUUCCUUCCUUGAGUUCUUGCCCUGACUUCCCUUGGUGAUGGAGUGUGACCUGAAAUAAAGCCUUCUUCCCCAA